GAUAAGAACGUAGUGAAAUGCGAUAAGUAAUGUGAAUUGCAGAAUUCAGUGAAUCAUCGAAUCUUUGAACGCACAUUGCGCCCCUUGGUAUUCCGAGGGGCAUGCCUGUUCGAGCGUCAUUAUAACCCCUCAAGCUCAGCUUGGUGUUGGGGCCUGCUGCACUGGCAGCCCUUAAAAUCAGUGGCGGCGCCAUCUGGCUCUAAGCGUAGUAAUUCUUCUCGCUAUGGAGUCCUGGUGGAUGCUUGCCAUCAACCCCCAAUUUUUCUAUGGUUGACCUCGGAUCAGGUAGGGAUACCCGCUGAACUUAAGCAUAUCAAUAAGCGGAGGA
rnacentral:misc_RNA from 1 species